rnacentral:rRNA from 1 species
CCUACGGGUGGCAGCAGUAGGGAAUCUUCCACAAUGGACGAAAGUCUGAUGGAGCAACGCCGCGUGUGUGAUGAAGGGUUUCGGCUCGUAAAACACUGUUGUAAGAGAAGAAUGACAUUGAGAGUAACUGUUCAGUGUGUGACGGUAUCUUACCAGAAAGGAACGGCUAAAUACGUGCCAGCAGCCGCGGUAAUACGUAUGUUCCAAGCGUUAUCCGGAUUUAUUGGGCGUAAAGCGAGCGCAGACGGUUAUUUAAGUUCUGAGGUAAAGGCCGGAGCCUAAAUGUGGAAGUGCUUUGGAAACUGGAUAACUUGAGUGCAGUAGAGGAGAGUGGAAUUCCAUGUGUAGCGGUGAAAUGCGUAGAUAUAUGGAAGAACACCAGUGGCGAAGGCGGCUCUCUGGACUGUAACUGACGUUGAGGCUCGAAAGUGUGGGUAGCAAACAGGAUUAGAUACCCGAGUAGUC